rnacentral:rRNA from 1 species
CAGUAGCCGCGGUAAUCCGUAGGUCCCGAGCGUUGUCCGGAUUUAUUGGGCGUAAAGCGAGCGCAGGCGGUUAGAUAAGUCUGAAGUUAAAGGCUGUGGCUUAACCAUAGUACGCUUUGGAAACUGUUUAACUUGAGUGCAAGAGGGGAGAGUGGAAUUCCAUGUGUAGCGGUGAAAUGCGUAGAUAUAUGGAGGAACACCGGUGGCGAAAGCGGCUCUCUGGCUUGUAACUGACGCUGAGGCUCGAAAGCGUGGGGAGCAAACAGGAUUAGAUACCCCAGUAGUCCCUGUCUCUUAUACC